rnacentral:rRNA from 1 species
UACAGAGGGGGCAAGCGUUGUUCGGAAUUACUGGGCGUAAAGGGCGCGUAGGCGGCCUUCUAAGUCGAACGUGAAAUCCCCGGGCUCAACCCGGGAACUGCGUCCGAUACUGGAAGGCUUGAAUCCGGGAGAGGGAUGUGGAAUUCCAGGUGUAGCGGUGAAAUGCGUAGAUAUCUGGAGGAACACCGGUGGCGAAGGCGACAUCCUGGACCGGUAUUGACGCUGAGACGCGAAAGCUAGGGGAGCGAACAGG